rnacentral:tRNA from 1 species
AUUUACAUAGCUUAUAAAUAAGAGCGUGACAUUGAAGAUGUUAAGGAAAUUGUAUAAUUUGUGAAUA